rnacentral:rRNA from 1 species
CCUACGGGAGGCAGCAGUGGGGAAUAUUGCACAAUGGGGGAAACCCUGAUGCAGCGACGCCGCGUGAGUGAAGAAGUAAUUCGUUAUGUAAAGCUCUAUCAGCAGGGAGGAAAAUGACGAUACCUGAGUAAGAAGCCCCGGCUAACUACGUGCCAGCAGCCGCGGUAAGACGUAGGGGGCAAGCGUUAGCCGGAUUUACUGGGUGUAAAGGGAGCGUAGACGGCAGUGCAAGUCUGGAGUGAAAGGCGGGGGCUCAACCCCCGGACUGCUCUGGAAACUGUACGGCUGGAGUGCAGGAGAGGUAAGUGGAAUUCCUAGUGUAGCGGUGAAAUGCGUAGAUAUCAGGAGGAAUACCAGUGGCGAAGGCGGCUUACUGGACUGUAACUGACGUUGAGGUUCGAAAGCGUGGGGAGCAAACAGGAUUAGAUACCCGGGUAGUC